GUUCAUAUUUUAACAUAUGAAACAUGAAAUAGAAGUAUAAUAUUAUUUUUGUAUCCAAAUAGUUAACAGAGCAGAUGCCCUUAGAUUCUAAUAUGUGUUCAGUCCUGAAGAUAGCCAAGUUAAAUAUAAAAACAGGAGAAGAGGAAAAAUAAAAGUCCAUUGAGAAGGAAUAGAGAGAAAGAACAGGUCUUGUGAAUGAGAAGUUCAUUUGGAUCAACACAGCAUUUCCUAGAAUGAGUCUGCACUGUGCUUUUUGCAGAGACGAAUGGGCUCCGUAGGCUCUCCACGGCUUUUGAUGGCAGAUGAGUUGUCUCUGUUUCAGAUGAGUCAAGCUCCAGUCCUGGAAGGCAGAUGUCCUCCUCCGAUGGUGGGCCACCGGGCCAGUCAGACACAGACAGCUCCGUGGAGGAGAGCGACUUCGACACCAUGCCAGACAUUGAGAGUGAUAAAAACAUCAUCCGGACCAAGAUGUUCCUUUACCUGUCAGAUUUGUCCAGGAAGGACCGGAGAAUUGUCAGCAAAAAAUAUAAAA
rnacentral:lncRNA from 1 species